AUUUUUCACUAGGGGAGCCAACUGUAGGCUGAGAAAAGCAAAGCUUUGACCCUUAGAACCUGAUCUGGUUGAUCCCAGCGUAGGGAAGUGAGUCGUUUUUACA
rnacentral:ncRNA from 2 species